GAGUGGCCUUGCUGCCACGAUC
rnacentral:snRNA from 1 species